rnacentral:rRNA from 1 species
UACGGAGGAUGCGAGCGUUAUCCGGAUUUAUUGGGUUUAAAGGGAGCGUAGACGGGAUGUUAAGUCAGCUGUGAAAGUUUGGGGCUCAACCUUAAAAUUGCAGUUGAAACUGGCAUUCUUGAGUGCGGCAGAGGCAGGCGGAAUUCGUGGUGUAGCGGUGAAAUGCUUAGAUAUCACGAAGAACUCCGAUUGCGAAGGCAGCUUGAUGGAGAGUAACUGACGUUGAUGCUCGAAAGUGUGGGUAUCAAACAGG